AUAGACCUUAAUCCGGCAUGGAUAUAUCCACGGUAUAUGCGAUUCUAAUUGGACUAGUUUUCAUACUUUUUGCCGUCAAGUGCAACCAUCCCAGACCAAGGAAUUUUAGGAAGAGCAAUCAUACGUUUGUGUACCCUUGCCCACCCGGUGAACUGUCGCUGAGAGGGAUGUGCAGAAAAGUCAGCGACGAAUACGAUUAAGAUCGCCAUUUAGUUUGAAAAUAGAAAGCUGAAAGUCCAAUGUAAAUGAAACAUAAAUAACAAAUGUUAAUACUGUUCAAAUUGGUGACCUGCAGCAUCAAUACAAUUCUGAGCACGAGUCACCACUGAUUCUGUACAUCGUAUCAAAACGUCCAAUGAGAUUUCUCUACACACUGCUUGAAUCUCAUUCCAAAGAAUGUCUAGGUUAUCUAGGUUACGUGGUUUACGUUUGUACACCUCAUCUUUUACUGUGCCCCACAAGAAGAAAUCCAGUGGUGUAAGGUCUGGAGAGCGUGCUGGAAACUCGAUUGGCCUCCUGCGUCCUAUCCACCGGCUCGACAAAUUUUGAUCCAGUCCGUCAAGACGACAAGUUAGCAGUCGGUCGUCGUCAUGCCUUCGAUAAUAAACGCUUUGGUGAUGUGUUUCCUUGGCCUUUGCAUUUUUUUGGCGCUGACAGCGCAUCCAGUUUUGACAUUUCCCACCAACGACGCCAGCAUCAACGUAGCUACUCCGCCUCCGCCCGUGAAAAGUACGACGCCCUGUAUAUAUGGUUUUGAGUUGGUGAACGGUACGUGCAGGGAGAUAUUCUGAUAACAGAUAUGGACUGUUCGCUCACCUCGAAGAUCUUUCCAUAUUAUUUAUUAAACUAUUUAUUAUAGGCUAGUCAUGGUUGUUGUAUGAUGAAAUGUAUGUUAUACAAGUGUUAAAAAGGAUACUUAAUGCAAAUAGUUGUAUACAUGUCUUAAUUUUUAGCAAGUACGCGUAUUAAUAGAUAAUUUAUAAUAUGAGCGUGUUGCUCGCUUUACCUAUCCUUCAAUAUUUCCGUAGUUCUACGUUAGUAGUUCAGUUUUAUACAAAAAAAAAACGGCUUAAAAUGUAAUAAUAAAAUUCCUAU